CCUAACGAUAUAACUGCGAGAGAAAGUAGGCUAUUGAAAUAUAUAUUUUCCUCCCAUCUGUUCCAUAGUACAUGUCAUUUUAUUUCCAAACACGGUAUUGGGAUAAGGCGGAAUGCGGGGGGGUUGUUGUAUCACGAUACCGGCUCAACAUCGUGAUAUUUAUCAGCCAUCGGCGAAGGAUAAUGGCAUCAUCUGUCGGCCCAACCCUGGAAGGGAUAAGUACACUCUUACCAAUAUACCGGUUUUCUUAGGUGUCCUAUGCCAUUGGAGUGGCCCACCCCUUGUCCAUCUCCAUCUUCCACUAUGGAACCUCACAGAGGAGCGAGAAGGAGCUGCUGGAGAUCGUGAAGAAGAACUUUGACCUCCGCCCGGGCGUCAUUGUCAGAGAGCUGGACCUGAAGAGGCCCAUCUACCAGCGCACCGCCGCCUAUGGCCACUUUGGCCGCGAGUCCUUCCCCUGGGAAGUUCCCAAAAAGCUUAAAUACUAAAUCUGUAACCCCCCCUCCUUUCAUUGGGCGGUAGGUGUACAUUACAGAGAAACCUACUCAACCCAUCGGAGGGGGGAGAUGUACCAAAACCCCUCACUCCUAACCUCACACCCGUUCCCAAAG